GGAACGGAUUUCUCCUCACAGCCCUCAGAAGAAACCAACCCUGUCACCAUUUUGAUCUUGGACUUUAGCCUCUGGAACUGUGAGACAAUACAUUUCUGUUUGUUUCAGCCACCUAGUUCAUAGUACUUUGAAGUGACCUUUACACCACUCUCACUUAGAGAUGAGGUCUGUGUCCCCUCCUCUUGAAAUUGAGUGGCUUUUGUGACUGUGUACACAGGUAGAGUAAACUGCAGAGCUGCCUGUCUGUGACUUCCAAGGCUAGGUCAUAAAAGGAGAUAAAGCUUCUUCCUGGCUGGUUGGGCUGCUUGCUCUUGAAGCCUUCAGUCUCUAUGCACGCAGCAUGCCUUCCCAGCCUCCUGUGGUUGUAGAGUGUAUAGAAGGCAGUUGGAUCACUAUGGACAGCGGGUAAGAGCUGAGGAAGCAGCCUCCGCCAGGUGGUAACAUGGAGGACCCUGAAGCAGGCCAAUUAAAUCAAGCAUAUUCCUCAGUAUCAUGGAGAGACUGGAGGUUAGAGACACCAAAACCAUCCCUGGCUUAAUGACUUUGGGAUCCCUGGGCCCCUCCAUGCAGCAGAACGGCAAUUAACCAAGCCACACCCUGAAUUGUACUCUGUUACCUUAGAAGUAGUGCAUUUGAUGGUUGUUUUGAAAAAAUAAAUGAAUGAAGGAGGACCAGUUCAUAUUACCCUUCAAAAAGGCAUAGACCAUUGGCCAUUCUCUGACCAUCUCAAGCCAGAGGUGACUUGAUCUGUCACCCAGCUGUGGCCCAUGAGCAUUAUCUAAGGAGGAACAUUUUUGCUUACGUUUCCAGUGCUCUACAUAAGCCCUAGGCCCUGGAAAUACUACUUUCAUGGCUCUGGCUAUGAACAUCAGCAUAUAGAGAAUGGAUCACUACCAAAGAAGGCACCCGAAUGUGUCUGUCUCAUCCUGGGGAAACUCAUUCAUCUGUAUAUGUACUCAGCAAGUGUUUCCUGGCACCUGCUCUGGGUCACAGUGCUGGGCACUGGAAGCUGAGAGAUGUGGAAGAAGGCUGGACAUUCAAGAUGAGAAGCCCGAGGCUGGUAAACUAGAGUCCAAGGGCAGAAAGCUGGUAAGUAACACAAGUAGGAUUCUUCAAACUCAAGUCUGCCUAACCUCAGAGACUUAAACACUUUAACGCUAUGCUAGACUGCUGUGUCAGAGUUUUGGAAGGUUACUCAUGAAGUAAUUGGGCAGUGUUUCCCAGUCUUCAAAAACCCACUGCCCUUUUGGUUAGAUGUGGAAAUCUCACACUUCCCCCCCAGCGAUUCUGGUAUCUCCCCCAAAGUGGAAUGCUAACUUGGUGAGAAUCACUGGGCCAAAACAUCUCUAAAGUCCAUUUAAAAUCUAAUAACUCAAUGAGAGAGUUUGUAUAAAGCACACAGUCCUUGACACAUAGCAGGUCCUCAAUCUCCGGCAGCUUUAGUAGUCCAUGGCUGCCUGCCUCCGUAGCAUCUAUUUCCCCCUUCCUUCUUUACAGAGGGAUCCCAAAUCUCCCAUUUGUCCAUGUAGGUUGGAUUUAACCACUUCCAGCUCAGGGGUGGGCCCUGAUUGGCUGAACACUAAUGACAUGAUCUCUCGCACCUGCACAUCACAUUCUUCCAGCCACAGUUCUCAGGGAUGUCCAUGUGACCCAAAUUGGUCCAGUUAGAGAAAAAUCCCAGGACUUUGUUCAAAAGCUCCUAUUUUUAAUAGCUUUGAUUAUUAUAUAUCACCAGGUAUAUAAUAAAAACUCCGAAGGAAAGAUCUGGAAAACAUUUGUGACAUCAUUUUUGCCCGAAUGGGAGAUCACAAAACCAUGAGGAAAUAAUAUGUGUCCUACAAGUUGGAUAGGAAGGAAUGACAUAGGAAAGGUCUUUCCCCUCAUCCCUCUAUGUCUCUGCCUCUGCCCUCUCGCCCUCCUUACAGCUGAGCCAACCUAAAUGUGCAGUCCCAUCUCUCCCAAAGAUCCCAGGCCAGCCGGAGCUGAAUGCAAGAACUAUUUAAGAAGCCUCAGCUCCUCUUCACUCCCAGGGACAAUGGCUGGAGGAAGAAAUGAGAGGAUCUCUAUACCCAGGCCUUGGCUUCUAUGUCCCUUCUCGAAGUGGUUGAAGUGCAGAUUUCUGAUUCUGUACCCAGCCUCCAGGGACACAGUACACAGUAUGCUGGGAAUGGCGGUGGGUGUUUGAGGUACAUUACUUCCAGACAAAACAUGGCUGCAGAGGGAUACCAAAAGCAUCUUCUGGUGGCUGAAGCCCUGUCUGCACAAGUGUCUGUGUUCUUCAAUGGUUCAGGCAAGCUCAGACAGACCCUCUGCUUCUCUUAACCUGAGACACUAGUUUCCCCAAGAACUUUGAGCUGAAGGUUCCUUGCUGUGUCCCCUACCUGGCUGUGAGGACUUUGAGUAUAAUUAUCCUAUCUUAUUUGUUGCUGUGCUCCCAGUGUCUUGGAUGGAGCCUGACAUCUAGUCAGUGUUAGUAAAUGUUGAUGUGUAUUGAAUUUUGCAAGGAUCUGCAGCCCUGAGAAGAGGGGAUACUUCUUGGAAACCUCUGUGGGCUAAAUUGAGGGUUAAGGACUGGGACUGGAAGGCAGAGAUUCCAGAGUGAUAACCACAGUAGUUACUAUUUCAUGAGAGCCUCCAUGUGCCAGCCUCUAAGCUAGGCCCAUACCAUGCAUUACCUCUUGUCCCCACUUUACAGAAACUAAGGCUUAGACAAGUUAAGCAACUUGCUAAAGAUCAAACAACUCAAUAUGUGUUGGAGUCAAAUGAACGCAUUUCUUUUCCAUUUCCCUCAUUUACUCCACUAAUGACAGUACUUAAAUUGUAGACUAGGAAUUAAAAUAGCAGAAGCCUGACUUGAGAGGGCAGAGCCCCUGCGUUUGAGUGCCUGAAAGUCAGUCAUGGGUAGAAAGAACAGUCUUGUAGCAGAGCUCUGGGCAAGGGAGGAGCCGUGAGCAGGUGGACAUGAACUCACUGUGACAACUCUCCAACAGUGAAAGCAGGUUCCCAUGGAAUCCAGGGAAAUUACUGAAUAACUUUCAACACAAAAAUGUGUGCUAGUGAGCUGUAGAGCCUUUAUAUCCCCCCAAAACAUAUUAUGGGGGUGGGGGGGGGGCGCGGAAUUCUGAAUUUUUGUUGUUGUUGUUGUUGUUGAGACAGAGUUUUGCUGUUGUUGCCCAGGCUGGAGUGCAAUGGCACAAUCUUGGCUCUCCACAACCUCCGCCUCCUGGAUUCAAGCGAUUCUCCUGCCCCAGCCUCCAGAGUAGGGGCUGGGAUUGUAGACAUGCGCCACCACGCCUGGCUAAUUUUGUAUUUUUAGUAGAGAUAGGGUUUCUGCAUGUUGAUCAGGCUGGUCUCGAACUCCUGACCUCAGGUGAUCCACCCGCCUUGGCCUCCCAAAGUGCUGGGAUUACAGGUGUGUGCCACGGCGCCCGGCCUAAGUAAAUAGUUUGGAAAGCUGCAUCCAAUAGUCUCUUUUGAAGAUUCACAAUGCACCCUAGCUUGUUAACUAUUCCAAGAAGUCCCCGGAAAAGAAUGCUUGUUUGACUUUCUUGAAUCCAGUGUUGCCCAUGUUUAUUUGACUAGUGAGCAGGUUUUUUUGUUUGUUUGUUUGUUUUUUAAGUGACACUUUUUAACACUCUGAGGCAGUAAUAUUGUACUGAACACAUGGGGAAUCUUCUGUGGAAGUUUGGCCUGGAAUACAUCCUCUGUGUUCCUUCUCGCCCCGUGGCUGAGUGAGUGUGCUGUAAAAGCUUAGUGACAGAAAAGCCCCACUUAGCCUAUUUGUGAUGAUUUCCUAAACCGGGCAAAUAACUCAUCUGAAUGGCUGAGGUGAUAAACUCACAGGAGGAGAAGAUGCUGGAGGAAGUGUCAUGUGUCCUGCAUGUAGGUACCACUUCACCUCCCAGCAAGGCGAUGCUGAUAGCAACGUUUUCCUUGGGUGUUGAAUUUUCCAUCCUGCAAUUACGUCUUAAGCCAUAGAUAAAAUUCACAUCCACGUUUCACUCAAGAUAAACCUAACAUCAUAAUAAUACAGAAGAUUAAUUCAUUGGGGAAAAAUAGAAGAAAAUUGGUCUUGGCUUAAAGAGAAGUCAACAUUUAGAAUGUGUAGAAGGGGAUUUCUUCUGGAUCACACUCUGUCCUCAACAGUGGCAUGUGAAAAUGUAUGUGGUUCGCUUUAGUGCAUGCAUGUUUGUGCCUGUCCCACUGACACAUCCACAGUGUGACCCAUAGAGGUCCACUUCUAAGACCCCUAACUCUGAGUCCAACCCACCCUUUUGGGCUCACUGCAGUCAUUUCUCUCUGAAGUCUUCCUUGACAACCUAGGCAUCAUCAGUUUUUCUCUUCUCUGAUCAUCUUAGCAAGUGUAUCCAUAAGCUAUAAUCACAAUCAUGCUGCAUAACAAAACCAAAAACUCAAUGGCCAAUAACAAUGAACAUUUAUUUUUUGUUUUCAUGUCUAGAGGCCAGGUGGGGGGUGGCUGAUCUAAGCUGGGUUUUGCUCUAGGUUAGAUUUAGUCUAGGUUGGCCUCACAUGUCUCUCAUUCUUCAGGUGUCAGGAGGCCACCAUGGGCCUGAUCUUCAGGACAGAUGCCUCUUAAGACUUGGGCUUUGACUCAUACACUGUUACUGCCACCCAUGUCCUGUUGGCCAAAGUCAAUUUCAUUACCAAGCCCAAGAUCUGUGGAGUGGAGAAAUGCAUUUUGAAGGGGAGGGAGUCAAUCUGUAAUGAGCACCAUGAUGUACCAUAGAGCAUUUGUAGUCAUGAGCCUGAUUUAGACACUUGGUGGGGUAUCUCUGUGCUCUUAGGAAUUGUGUCUCUGUGUCUGUCAGAGGUGAUAACAUUGGAGCUGAGCCUUAAAAAAUAAAAGUUUCCUCAAACACCUCUGUGACUUCUGUGAUGCCUUCUGUUCACCACCCACAGUAGCACUGAAGGAAGAAAAGUAGUAACAUGUGAAGUGCAUAGGCAGCCCAGGGAGUCAUGCAUCCUAGUUCUGCAAGGAGGGUGCCCCUAGCCAGCCCUUGAUUGCCUCCCAGUUUUGGAGUUUGUAAGAGUCACAAAUAAUCACACUUCCCUCUCCUCAAAGUUCUGAACCAACUAAAAAUUAUACAUGGGAAUUUGAUGGGGAUGAAAAUAUGGACUUUAUAAGUAAAAAUGAAUUUGAGAACAGCUUGGACCUGAAGCUGAAGGGGUUUCCUUGAUACUUUUCAUCUGGAUCCUGUAGUCCACCUGAGGGUAGUUGUGGGUCUUCAUGGUGGACUUUUAACCAGAUGCAUGAAAAAUUGUGGCCAGGAGAGAGGCCACACCUGAGAGGGAUGUUUACACAUGAGAAACAUAGACCAGUGGGUGUCAGCCUCUUGCCACCUCAACAAUUAUGCCAAUUUCUCCUACACACAAAUGAAGGAGAGAAGAGCUAAGUGUGAAAGGAAAGAUGGAACUCUGUCCUCCCCAUCUAAUCCGGGAUGGAAGCUGUCUGUUGCAGGGACCAGCAUGAGGUGGGGAGGAAGGAUGACCCCGGUGAUCUAGAAAAUGGGACUGAUGCUAUUUAGACGGCUGCCAUCACUGAGUCAGCGGGUGUGGGCUUCUUUAUGCACUUGCUAGAAAUGGGCCAUCAGGCCACUCCUAGUGUGCCCUGGAGCAACUUGUUCUUGUCUGCAAGUCCAGAUGCAGAACACCUAACUCCACUCCACUUCAUCCCCAAAUCCCAACCCGUCUUCACUCAUUUCCGACUGAACCAAGCCACCUGAGUGUCGUGAGUUCACCUGUGUGUUCUUGCCAUCUCCUGGGAUGGAGUCCCCACAGGUCAGAACACUUGAACUCAUUGUGUAGAACCAGAUUCUCUCCCACACUUUUCUCUCUCCUCUCAGAGGCCAAUUUGUUCUGCAGUCAAUUCUGCAGAAGUUAGAAAUAAAGCAUGGUGACCAAUCAGAGAUGAGAGAGGGUGUGGUUGGGCUGAGAGUCACUUUUCAGAGCUUAUGAAAAGCUGCAAACCCGGUGGAUGGCUUACACUCUUUCCUCAAGGGCAACACACUGAGUGAGAGGGUGCUGGAGGGGGAUGCUGGGGAAAGCGAGCUUGUAUUCAAGGAGGCCUGUGGUGUCAUUAUUUACAGUGUCACACCUGAUCCUCCCAACGACCCCAUCUCUAGGCUCUGGAAGUUAGUGGUUAAGAGCACAUCUCUCAGGCUUGUUCACAUACAGUUGUGUGACCUUGGGCAAGUCUCUGUGCCUCAGUUUACUCAUCUGUAGAAUGUUGGUAGAGGAGGAUAUUAAGAGUAACUACCACAUAGUGGUGCUGGGAGGAUAAAAUGAUUUAAUAGAUGUGAUGGGCAGCUGUGGGGAUGGCUCCCAGUGAUCCCUGUCUCCAGGUAUCCAUGCCCUUGCUUGUAAGGAAGAGAAUAUGGCAAAGUUGAUAGGCUGUCUCUUCCAAGAUCAGGUUACAAGAGACUGUGAACUCCCUCUUGCUUACUUUCUCUUACUCUCUUUCUUACUCCAGUGGAAACCAACAGCGUGUUACGAGCUGCCCAGUGGAGAAACCCACACUACAAGAAACUGUGGAUGGCCUCCUCUGGUCAAUAGCCAGCUAGGAAUAAGGCCUUCAUCCAAUAGCCCAUGAGGAACUGAAUCCUGCCAAAAACCACACACGUGAGCUUAGAAGCAGAUCUUUCCCCAGUAGAGCCUUGAAAUGACUGCUGCCCCCACCUGACACCUUAACUGUGGUCUGUGUGAGACUCUGAAACAGGGGGCCCAGCUAAGCCAAGCCCAUAUUCCUGACCCACAGACGCUUUGAGAUAAUAUUGAAUAAAUUCUUGUGGUGUUAAGCCACUGAGUUUUAGGGUAAUUUGUUAGACAGCGAUAGAUAACGAAGACAAUACAUUAACAAUUCUUAAGAUACCCAGUGGAUAGUAAACCUUCAAUAGAUAUUGACUGUCUUUAUUAUUAAUAUCUCAGUUUCACAGAUGAGACAAAUGAGGCUCAGAGUGACUUCCCAGAGUUCGACAGUUAAUAUGCAGUAGAGUAGGGGCUCUGCCUUUGUUCUAUCUGACUUCAAAGUCAGUGCUCUCAAAGCAUCACUAUUUGGAAGACUCAGCUCCUUGAGGUGCCUAAGCAGGAUUUGUAGAAAAACAGAGGGCAGAUUUCCAUGGGCUGCCUUAGAUAGGUGAAUGACCCCUUAAGGCUGUAGAGGGCCAGGCCUAGGGCUGGGGAGAGCCAUGGCCAGCUCUUCAGGGAGUCUACAUGGGUAGGAGGACUAGCUCCUGCACCCAAACUUCACUAGGGGCUAGGUCUUCCAGCACAUGGGAGAACCAACGCAUGGCUGAGUCUGCUCCUAGAGUUUGUAAGAUGCUGUGUACUGAGAAAUGGAGCUCUGGUCUCUCCUCGCCCUCUGCUAUAGUUUCAAUGUGUUCCCCAAAAAGCAUGUGUUGGAAACUUAAUCCCCAAUGCAACAGUGUUGGGAAGUAGGGCCUAAUGGGAGGUGUUUAGGGCAUGAGGUCUCUGUCCUCAUGAAUGGAUUAAUGCCGAUUAUAAAAGGUCUUGAGCAUGUGAGUUCAUUCUCUUGCUCUCUCACAAUGCUGUCUUGCCCUUCCACCGUGAGCCAUGGGAUGAUGUAGGAAUCAUCCCAUGAUUGGUGGCACCUUCAUAUUAGACUAUGUUGGACUUCGCAGCCUCCAGAACUGUGAUAAACAAAUACCUUAUAAGUUACGACACCUCUGAUAUUGUGUUAUAGCAACACAAAACAGACUGAGACUCUUUCUCUCAUUCCCUCUGGGAGCUCAUGAACUAGGAGCCUGAGAUAAGCCCCAUUCAGAGGAGUCUCAUCUGAGCAAAGGCCGUUUUCGUUGCUAUCCUAUCAUGCUAUAGACAGCAAUGAUGAAUCAACUUAGCUGAUCGGAGGGCAGUCAGCACCAUCAGAAACAACAUGUCCUCUUAGCACAGUAACUGCUGGGAACAUCUACAAGAUUCCUCAGGGUGUAUGGGCAACAGACACAGGGAGCGUGCAGAGAGGCAGGUGGCACAGCCCCUGAUAUCUGCGGUGGUGAGACGCACAAUGGGAGCAGAUUCAAGCUUCACCACACAGACACUCAAAGAAUCAACGGAUACACGGAGACACCCAGGCACCUGCAUUAAUACCCAUAUACUCCCAGACACAUGGCCACACUCAUAGACACACCUACAGAAUGACACACUCAGACAUUCAGUGUGAAAGACACAAAUGCUCAGAUAAAUGCCCAGGUGGUAGGGAGGAACAUUAAAAUCCCACAACUCAUGUUUCCAGGGAGGGGAAGUCUUUUCCAUUGCACCAUGCAGGAGGGAAAAGUAUUGAAGGAACACUUCUUGCCCUUGUCCAUCCCCUCACCCAUUUCUCCCCAGAGGAGAGUUGGUGAGUUUGGGGGAGGAACAGAGCAUGCUCAGUCUAGUCUCCCCUAGGGCUUCUCUGUCUUUUACCCUGCCUGCCUGCAGAGGGGAAACAACAUUCUCAUCAGUCCUCUGGUACUGGGUGGCCUCUCAGGGUCGGCUUGGCCCCUCUGGGGAGUUGCCUGGUGUGACCAGUGCCGAUGGACACGUCUAUCUAAUUCAUUGGGGAAGAAUUUGCAGACCCUUUGGCUACAUAUCCAAAGCCACAUUCUUUACUUGACUGUACCCAGUAAUAGAGCUGACAUUCUGAUCUUCACCUCUAUCUCUGAGGCCUUAUUUCUCAGUUGGUGUCAAACUUGCGAUUCCCCGGUUCCAACACCAAAUAUUCCCACUUAGAGGAAAAACAGAAACAUGGACAAAUGUUCAAAGACACAGCAGAGAAACAUAGAUGAGAUGGUACAUUUGCUCUCCUGAGUGGAGGGAGGAUGGUUAGAAGAGCAGUUCAUGAGUCUGGCUGGGUGUUAGAAUCACCUGGGAAGAAUUACAAAUAGGUACUCAUGUCUGGGUCCUACUCCAGACAAACUGAUUCAGAAUCUACUGGGUCAGGGCCUGGGCAGUGGUCAAUUUUAAAGCUCCCCAGGUGAUUCUAACAGGCAGCUUCCCCACUCCCCAGCACUCCAUGAGGAGCAAAAGAGUGUUGGUGACUGGGGGCCUAACCCAUCGGUCACAGACCUCCCUCAGACGUCACUUGCUUCCAGCUAUAGCUCCAAAUUUCUCUCCUAUGGACAUUCUGGGGAUUCUGGUAGCAGCUGAGGGCUGUGCACUAAGCAGGCAAUUGCCUUUGGCUGCUGCUCUUCUGACUCUUCUAACUCUUCUGGUGGACCAUGGGGGCUGUCUCACCACUCUUCAAGCAGAAGUCCCUCACUCCUGCCUUGGAUCCCCAACACGUACGGAUGCUUAGGUCGACAUGGUAUUUUUCCUCUUGCUUUCAGUCUAGCUUCCUGUUGCAUCUCUGCUUGGUUGGCCCCUGGCAGAGCAGGUGCACAGGACACCGAGUGGAGAACUGGCCCCAGUGACAGUGGCUCGGCACAUGCUCUUCAUCCCAUAGCCAAAGGCACUUUCUUUGUGAUGCAUGGAGGCCAAACUCUUCUGCCAGCAACAGAGAAGCAAGGCCAGGCUGAUGGCUGCAAAAUGAGAGCGUGGUGUAAAGAUGGGAGCAGAGGUGGCGUGUACCCAUCCAGUGGCCUUGAUGCUUCUGUGAAUAUGGAG
rnacentral:lncRNA from 10 species